rnacentral:rRNA from 1 species
UACAGAGGUCUCAAGCGUUGUUCGGAUUUACUGGGCGUAAGGGCGCGUAGGCGGUCAGCACAAGUCAGUUGUGAAAUCUCCGGGCUUAACUCGGAAAGGUCAACUGAUACUGUGCGACUAGAGUGCGGAAGGGGCAACUGGAAUUCUCGGUGUAGCGGUGAAAUGCGUAGAUAUCGAGAGGAACACCGGUGGCGAAGGCGGGUCUCUGGGCAGUAACUGACGCUGAGGCGCGAAAGCGUGGGGAGCAAACAGG